CCACACGAUUCUACUUGGUCAGUACUACCUACCUGACUAAACUUCAUGUCUCAAUUCCAAUGUCAACUAAUGUAAAGAAUUACCAACCACAGUUCAACCAAUGGAUGAGGAAGAAAGAGAACACUGAAAUUAAUUUGGAUACUUGCUACUGAAAAAAACCGAAUCGUCUACUAUGGUACUGUUUGCUGUUGACUUUCCACCUUUGACGAUUUUACAGUCGGUUGAGGAACACUGUGGAUGUCGUGUUUCAGUCUUAUUAUACUUGAUACUCCAGUACAUGCUAAUACCUAAAGGAAGCAAAAAGAUGCCUUUUUUCGACUGAAAACAAAGGCAGCAUGUUAUAAUUAGAAAAAAGGAUUUAUGACGCUUGAUUGAUUAGUAACAACAUUAUGUUAAAAGCAAUAUGUGUGAAGUUUUGACCUAUCUCUUGGACAUUUCUAAUCUACAUUUUUAGUAGAGUCAACUUUUACAUGUCAGCUUUGUUAUCCUUAAUACAAACUAUGCAUAAAUUUUGACUCUAAUUUUGAAUACUGUGCCUAAUUUGUUUUUCUUGCUCAUUUUUACAGAUUGGACAACAAAUUAGAGAGGCUGAUCAUAUUGAAACAAUCAAUGUCUACACUUUACUAGACUGUAUUGAUUUGCUGUUUUUGUCCUCACAUUGAAACAUUAUUCAGUUAAUUUUCAAAACAUUAGCGAAAACAAGAGGAAAUUUAUCUAAAUUCCACUGAAUCAAGAAGUUAUCUUCUAUUGUAUUCCUCCUGGAUUUGGUUUGCUUUUCACACAUAAAAACUUUGGAAUGUUACAGUCUAUUGUUCAUUAAGAUCAACAGUGGAGAAGACAGAAGAUCCCGUAGUUAAAAUACUUCUUUAUUUUGCAUGUUUUUUGUAGUGUAUUUUAUUUGAAUUAAUUUUUGUUUGUAGAGGUUAUUAUUAUUUUUUUGUAGUAGUGUACUAACACAUCUUUCUUAGUAGCAGUUAAAUAGUAGUCUAACAUGUCUCUUGCUUACCUUUUCGCUUAGCUUACUGCAUAUUCUUCCUAAUUUGCUUCGCAUUUACCCUACGUUUUCUAUAUGAUUCAACGUUUCAUUAUUGUGUUUUAUUCUCUUCUCAGCCUUGUGGAACUUGGCCUUAGCUUUUUAGUUGAUCUUAAAAGUGUUUAUACACUUUUCGCGAGUCUACUCAAGCGUUACUUCCUUUCAGACAGGGUACAGU